GACGAACGCUGGCGGCGUGCUCAACACAUGCAAGUCGAACGGAAAGGCCCUGCUUUUGUGGGGUGCUCGAGUGGCGAACGGGUGAGUAACACGUGAGUAACCUGCCCUUGACUUUGGGAUAACUUCAGGAAACUGGGGCUAAUACCGGAUAGGAGCUCCUGCUGCAUGGUGGGGGUUGGAAAGUUUCGGCGGUUGGGGAUGGACUCGCGGCUUAUCGGCUUGUUGGUGGGGUAGUGGCUUACCAAGGCUUUGACGGGUAGCCGGCCUGAGAGGGUGACCGGCCACAUUGGGACUGAGAUACGGCCCAGACUCCUACGGGAGGCAGCAGUGGGGAAUAUUGCACAAUGGGCGGAAGCCUGAUGCAGCAACGCGGCGUGCGGGAUGACGGCCUUCGGGUUGUAAACCGCUUUCGCCUGUGACGAAGCGUGAGUGACGGUAAUGGGUAAAGAAGCACCGGCUAACUACGUG
rnacentral:rRNA from 1 species